rnacentral:rRNA from 1 species
UACGAAGGGGGCUAGCGGUGUUCGGAUUUACUGGGCGUAAAGCGCAUGUAGGCGAGACGUUAAGACGGGGGUGAAAGCCUAGAGCUCAAAUCUGGAACUGCCUUCGAUACUGAAAGUCUGGAGCAAGUCAGAGGCGAGGGGAAUUGCGAGUGUAGAGGUGAAAUUCGUAGAUAUUAGCAAGAACACCAGUGGCGACGGCGGCUCACUGGCCCUAUUCUGACGCUGAGGUGCGAAAGCGUGGGGAGCAAACAGG